CCCCCCCCCCCCCCCCCCCAUUUUCAAUCCAAUCCAAUCCUUCGCAGAUACAUUCAACAAUCACUGCACACAAUCACAAACAAUUUUCGUCAAAAACGCGCAACACUCGACCUCACAACAUUUGCUUGUUCCACAAGUUUUCUUCAACCAAACCCUAGAAAAAACAAUUCAUCAAGUUUCAGGUCAAUUUACAAAAAUUGGAUGUUGUGAUAAUGUUUAAGCUAUGGAGAUGGUAUCAAAACUGUUUAUCUGUUCAUCCGGUCAAAACUCAGGUCAUCAGCUCCGGUUUAAUUUGGGGAUUUGGUGAUAUUGCAGCUCAGACCGUUACGCAUGCUAGUUCCGUUAAGAGAAACCCUAAUUUAGCUUCUGUUUGGGCUGCUUGGUCUCUUCUACUUGGGCUCUCCUCCUGCCUUACUGCUGGGCUUCCUUCUUGGGCUUAUAGUCGUUUUAUACAGCUGGAUGUUAGCUGGUGCUUAGGGUUUCUAGCCCAUAUAAUGGGCAGAAGGUUCUCGUUCAAGACACACGAGCUCCUCACUUUCUCUUGUCUUCACUUUUGUACGCUUCCCUUGUUCCCUAUCCUCACAAGUACAUUCGUGAGUCUAGGGCUUAUCUACACUUGUACAGAUCAUCCGAUUGGAGAUCUUAUUUGUUCCUUGUUCAGUUGUUAAUCUGUGAUGACAGAUUUGUUCAAUCAUUGUAUUUGAUGCUAAGAUUACAUAAUAAAACUGCUUGAUUCUUGAGUUC